GACGAACGCUGGCGGCGUGCUUAACACAUGCAAGUCGAACGGAAAGGCCUCUUUCGGGGGGUACUCGAGUGGCGAACGGGUGAGUAACACGUGAGUAACCUGCCCUUGACUUUGGGAUAACUUCAGGAAACUGGGGCUAAUACCGGAUAGGAGCUCCUGCUGCAUGGUGGGGGUUGGAAAGUUUCGGCGGUUGGGGAUGGACUCGCGGCUUAUCAGCUUGUUGGUGGGGGAGUGGCUUACCAAGGCUUUGGCGGGUAGCCGGCCUGAGAGGGUGACCGGCCACAUUGGGGCUGAGAUACGGCCCAGACUCCUACGGGGGGCAGCAGUGGGGAAUAUUGCACAAUGGGUGGAAGCCUGAUGCAGCAACGCCGUGUGCGGGAUGACGGCCUUCGGGUUGUAAACCGCUUUCGCUCAUGACGAAGCUUUGUGUGACGGUAGUGGGUAAAGAAGCACCGGCUAACUACGUG
rnacentral:rRNA from 1 species